GACGAACGCUGGCGGCGUGCCUAAUACAUGCAAGUUGAGCGCUGAAGGUUGGUACUUGUACCAACUGGAUGAGCAGCGAACGGGUGAGUAACGCGUGGGGAAUCUGCCUUUGAGCGGGGGACAACAUUUGGAAAGGAAUGCUAAUACCGCAUAAAAACUUUAAACAUAAGUUUUAAGUUUGAAAGAUGCAAUUGCAUCACUCAAAGAUGAUCCCGCGUUGUAUUAGCUAGUUGGUGAGGUAAAGGUUCACCAAGGCGAUGAUACAUAGCCGACCUGAGAGGGUGAUCAGCCACAUUGAGACUGAGACACGCCCCAAACUCCUACGGGAGGCAGCAGUAGGGAAUCUUCGGCAAUGGACGAAAGUCUGACCGAGCAACGCCGCGUGAGUGAAGAACGUUUUCGGAUCGUAAAACUCUGUUGGUAGAGAAGAACGUUUGUGAGAGUGGAAAGCUCAUCAAGUGACGGUAACUACCCAGAAAGGGACGGCUAACUACGUG
rnacentral:rRNA from 1 species